rnacentral:rRNA from 1 species
AUUGAACGCUGGCGGCAGGCCUAACACAUGCAAGUCGAGCGAGCGGCGGACUGGUGAGUAAUGUAUGGGGACUGCCCGAUAGAGGGGGAUAACUACUGGAAACGGUGGCUAAUACCGCAUACUAUCGGAUAACCCAUAUGGGAUUAGCUAGUCGGUGGGGUAACGGCUCACUUAGGCGACGAUGUCUAGCUGGUCUGAGAGGAGGAUCAGCAACACUGGAACUGGGACACGGCCCAGACUCCUAAGGAGGCAGCAGUGGGGAAUAUUGAGCAAUGGGCGCAAGCCUUAUGCAGCCAGGCCGCGUGUGUGAAGAAGGUCUUAGGGUUGUAAAGUACUUGCAGCGGGGAGGCGUUACCCGCAGAAGAAGCACCGGCUAACUCAGUGCCAGCCGCCGCGGUAAUAC